rnacentral:rRNA from 1 species
GACGAACGCUGGCGGCGUGCCUAAUACAUGCAAGUAGGACGCUGAAGAGAGGAGCUUGCUCUUCUUGGAUGAGUUGCGAACGGGUGAGUAACGCGUAGGUAACCUGCCUUGUAGCGGGGGAUAACUAUUGGAAACGAUAGCUAAUACCGCAUAACAAUGGAUGACACAUGUCAUUUAUUUGAAAGGGGCAAUUGCUCCACUACAAGAUGGACCUGCGUUGUAUUAGCUAGUAGGUGAGGUAACGGCUCACCUAGGCGACGAUACAUAGCCGACCUGAGAGGGUGAUCGGCCACACUGGGACUGAGACACGGCCCAGACUCCUACGGGAGGCAGCAGUAGGGAAUCUUCGGCAAUAGGGGCAACCCUGACCGAGCAACGCCGCGUGAGUGAAGAAGGUUGUCGGAUCGUAAAGCUCUGUUGUAAGUCAAGAACGAGUGUGAGAGUGGAAAGUUCACACUGUGACGGUAGCUUACCAGAAAGGGACGGCUAACUACGUG